UACUCUCAAAUAAAAAAUAAACUCUGUACAUCUUUGCUAGAACAAUCAGAAAAGUGACUAAUUUCAUACCCAUUUCUGGAAAGGGCUCUUGGAUAACUUGCCCAGCAAAUUCCUGGCCUGGGCUGCAUCCAGACUGCAGUCAGUCUUUAUAGCUGCCAUAGGUAACCUCACAGCAAGGUGUAUUUUGUGUAAAUGAAGAAGCUGAUACUUCAAGGGUAUCCCUGUGUCUUUGAAAUCUCAGUAAAGAACAUUAUGUGGGAAAAAGGAAAAAAAAAGACAUGUUCCUAUGAUAAACUUUCAGGAGACAUGAAAAAUUUGAGAAGUAUCUGUUAUCCUUGCAAAUGUCAAUCGGGAUAGCAUUAGAGCUCAAGCCACAGCUGACCCUUCAACAACACGGGUUUGAAAUGCAUGGGUCCACUUACUUGUAUAUGGAUUUUCUUUUUUAAUAAAUACAGCACUAUAAAUAU